UACGUAGGUGGCAAGCGUUGUCCGGAUUUAUUGGGUUUAAAGGGUGCGUAGGCGGCUCUGUAAGUCAGUGGUGAAAUACUCUAGCUUAACUAGAGGGGUGCCAAUGAUACUGCAGGGCUUGAGUACAGAUGAGGUAGGCGGAAUUGACGGUGUAGCGGUGAAAUGCAUAGAUAUCGUCAAGAACACCGAUAGCGAAGGCAGCUUACUGGGCUGUAACUGACGCUGAUGCACGAAAGUGUGGGGAUCAAACAGG
rnacentral:rRNA from 1 species